ensembl:lncRNA
AUGCAUAUUUUUCUAAACCAAAAUACUGCUUAUUUUCGUAGUGUAUAUUUUGAAAUAAUGACUGGUCAAAGAGGAGUAUCAAUGCAUUUGAAGGAGCAAAGUGUGAAAGAUUUCAGCAGGAAGAAGCUUGAUCUCAGGAAAUUGAUGUAUUCCACGUUGGAUACUGCACUGCACCUCCAGUUUAGACAGAAGAGGAGUUGUGUUAGCAAAUGCUCAACCAAAUGUAAAAACAUUGCUAAAGUAAUGGACUCCAACAAAGAUCCGAUUUUACUUUGGGGAAUUCAAGAGAUGCUGUAACUCAGUCAGAAGAGGCUGGGAUAUGAAACUCACCAGGUCAUCUUCAGAGUCCAGAUAUGAAGCACUGAGAUGAGAGAAUUAGAAGGUCCCUUUGUGGAAUCACAAGUGAAGCUUUUAAAAUUCUGUUUUUUCCUCUAAUUGUUCUUAGUCAGUAGUUAAUCAUGCACAUAGAUGUCAUACAACUUAUUCUUCAUCCGAUGUGCUACUCAGCUUACUGUUUGAACUUGUUGGUCCCUAGUCUCACACCAUAUCUGGACACGCACCUCUAUUCAUGCAUCUUCGCAUGUUUCGUGAUGUGAAUCCGCAAAGAGAACUGAACACAAGAAGCUUCACAGUCAUAGCUUUUUCCAGCACACCUGUUAAUCAGCUUUGGUAAUAUGAAAGACAAACAGCUAUUUCUACCAAGUGCAAAUUUGGUUUCAUAUAACCAUUCACUGCCAUGGCUGCUCAAUUAAGUCACUGAGCUUAGGCAGGCCACAAACAAUUUUGCUCAGGACACCAGCCUAGGAGCACAAGUUCCUUGUGGUAAGGAGAAAGUCACAAGAACUCAACUGUAAAAAUUUGGACAGUCUUUUGUGUCAAUCAAGUUUAAUGGGUAUCCUGUUCAACUGCUAUACAGUCAGUCUAUAAAGUGAUGAAUCAUCCACAAACCUGGUUUCUCAUGACAUUCAUCAUCUUUGAUGAGAUACAAUUAGAUUGUGAACAUUUCAUGUGUGGAUAAGACAUUCAGACAGUCAGAGUGUUAGAUGGGGAAUGGGGGAAGAUUCAUACUUCUGGUCACGGUGCCAGUAAAGGGCUCAAAUAUACUCAGCUCUUGCAUCUUAAUUUCUAAACAAGUGGGCUACAAGGGCUAGAUUAUUGUUUUAUAAAGUGCUGCAAAAUUGUAAGCAAAGCACCUGAACUGACUUGAAAGACAGCCCACUCACUGCGUUUUAAUUCUUACUAAUUCUUUUGCAUAAUUAAUGUUAUUUUAUUUUUGUUUUCCUAGUAAAAGAUUUUUAAAGGGAGUAAAAGCUUUCACCAUUAAGCAUUACCAAUCUCUCUGCAGCAUGACUCUUUUAAAUUAAAAAUGCUCAUUUACUUUGACAUACUAUAGAAAGCAGAAUUUUUUGAAUACUUUCUAGUUUGUUUUGGGAACUGUAUGCUAAAUUACAUCAAUCUGCAAUGUACUUCACAGUCCAGAUGACUUUUCAUGUUAUUCUCACUAAAGUUAUAUAAAGGAAUUAAAUUUGUUUAAAAUCUUUGGUAGUUAAGAAAGAAAACUCUCCAUUUUUCCUAAUGUUUUUUUUAGAAUUUGGUAAGCCUUUUGAGAAUUGUUUUGUAUUAUAAGCAAUAAAAUCUGGUAAUUAAGCA